GGGAAACUUACCAGGUCCAGACAUAGUGAGGAUUGACAGACUGAUAGCUAUAGCUCUUUCGAGAUUCUAUGGGUGGUGGUGCAGGGCCGUUCUUAGUUGGUGGAGUGAUUUGUCUGGUUAAUUCCGUUAACGAACGAGACCUUAAUCUGCUAAAUAGGAUCCAUAACCUAUGUUUCAAGGACGCCUUCUUAGAGGGACGUUGCGUGUCUAACGCGAGGAAGUGUGAGGCAAUAA
rnacentral:rRNA from 1 species